AAAUGGUCUCCAAGUCAACAUUUUGAAAGGGGCUAAGAGCUAUGCCAUUUCUGAGAGCUGCCAGCACCCUCAGCAGGGCAAAGGGCAAGAUCUUUUCCCAGGAAAUGAAAUUACUGGAUUUAUGGUCAAGGAAAAAUCACUAACCCACAGCUCUCAGACACACUCAUGAAAAUGGGAAAAAUGCAUACACAGGGAUCAGAGAACAGAGAAACACGUGAAUCUUGUGGUUGGAAAGAAACGCACUUUGGAACUAUUUUCCACUCAUUAAGAAGAUAGCAGCAGAGACUGGCAUGGUGCAACUUCAUGGUAAGAAUCACUAGGGACUGCCAGCAGCCCCCAGAAGCUAGAAGAGAGGUGUGAAGCAGGUUCUUCCUCAGAGCCUCUUCAUUCCAGACCUCUGGCCUCCAAAACUGCAAGAGACUGCAUUUCUACCAUUUAUAGCUUUGAAAUCUGUGCUAAUUAAUUACUGAAGUCACAAGAAUACUUUACAUAAAUAAGUAUGAAAAAUUCUUAUGUAUAGAAUAAGGUCUAUACACAUGCAAUAUACGCUUAUACAUGCAUAUGUGUUUGCUUGUAUAUGUAUUUGUGUGUGUGUGUGUAUCUUUAUCUCCAGGCUGGAGU